CUCAGCUCCCAGUUGGGAUUUAGCGUGAAUGAAAAUUGGGAUAAAAUUCGCAACUCGCAUUUCAAUCCGAUCCAACCCGGACUGUUGAGAAAACUCCAGGGAUGAUACCUGCACAAAUACAAAUGUCAUCUGUACAGAAGCUAUACAAGGAAAAAUGUGGACAAAUUAUUAUUGAUGACAGAAUCAUGUCCAUCAAAAAGAGAACAAGUCGCGAAUAAACCGAGUUGAAAUCCUUCUCAAUUUCCUUAAGGGCGACCUCCUCAAUAAAAAGCCAGGGAUGAAUUGGACCCACGGUGGUGCCCGGUUUCCGCAUCCCGCAUUCAAAAAUCCGCUUCAA